rfam:Salmo salar isolate Sally breed double haploid chromosome ssa05, whole genome shotgun sequence.
UAUGCACUCUACUGUAAGUCGCUUUGGAUAAGAGCGUCUGCUAAAUGACUAAAA